CGUGUAAUGUGAAUUUAAUUUGGCUUGCUACAUAUACAAUUGUUUGACAUGACUGGCUUAACUACUCAUCAUCUAAUUAAUUUAUACAUGUGAAUAUACAUCUGAAGUCUUUUUUUUUUUUUUUUUUUUUUUUUUUUUUUUUUUUUUUUUUUUUUUUUUUUUUUUUUUUUUUUUUUUUUUUUUUUUUUUUUUUUUUUUUUUUUUUUUUUUUUUUUUUUUUUUUUUUUUUUUUUUUUUUUUUUUUUUUUUUUUUUUUUUUUUUUUUUUUUUUUUUUUUUUUUUUUUUUUUAAGUUUUUUUUUUUUUUUUUUUUUUUUUUUUUAUAACUCUGGUAUUUGGACAGCCACAUUCCCAACUAUCCAUCGAAAGGGGUCCAGCACCCCAACGGAACGGAUGUUAAAUCCGUUGUGGCCAAGGCUCGAACCCGGGUGGCGGGCAGGACAGCUGUACCUCCUUUACCACCAAGCUACGA
rnacentral:lncRNA from 1 species